rnacentral:rRNA from 1 species
CCUACGGGAGGCAGCAGUGGGGAAUAUUGCACAAUGGGCGCAAGCCUGAUGCAGCCAUGCCGCGUGUGUGAAGAAGGCCUUCGGGUUGUAAAGCACUUUCAGUCAGGAGGAAAGGUUAGUAGUUAAUACCUGCUAGCUGUGACGUUACUGACAGAAGAAGCACCGGCUAACUCCGUGCCAGCAGCCGCGGUAAUACGGAGGGUGCGAGCGUUAAUCGGAAUUACUGGGCGUAAAGCGUACGCAGGCGGUUUGUUAAGCGAGAUGUGAAAGCCCCGGGCUCAACCUGGGAACUGCAUUUCGAACUGGCAAACUAGAGUGUGAUAGAGGGUGGUAGAAUUUCAGGUGUAGCGGUGAAAUGCGUAGAGAUCUGAAGGAAUACCGAUGGCGAAGGCAGCCACCUGGGUCAACACUGACGCUCAUGUACGAAAGCGUGGGGAGCA